rnacentral:lncRNA from 1 species
CUCUCUCUGGAAACUGUCAUUAGGGUUAGGGAAACUGUCAUGAGAUCUGCAUAUUUUAGAUAGAGGCUGCUUGCCUUAUUUGGGCACCUAAUGAAAAAGACAUGGAGGCCAGGUGCGGUGGCUCAUGUCUGUAAUCCCAGCACUUUGGGAGGCCAAGGCGAGUGGAUCACCUGAGGUCAGGAGUUCGAGACCAGCCUGACCAACAUGGCAAAACCCCGUCUGUACUAAAAGUGCAAACACAAAGGGAACUGCGUGGCUUGUUUCUACCUGAACAUUGUCAAGUGAUUUCAUCCUUUGAAACACAGUUGUGAAGUGUGUCCAGCAGUCUGAGAACAAGAAGAAGAAGAAAAUCUAAUCCUUCAGGGUGUCUGUGUGCCAGCCCUGCUCUCAGCACUUCCCAUGUGGAACUCCUUUACUUCUCCUAACAACUCCAUGACAUGGGUUAGACUGUGAUUGUUCCCAUAUUGUUGGUAGGGAAACUGAGGCAUGCAGGUGUUACAGAGCUCUCUCAAGUGGCAAGCUUUCUGGGUGGUUACAGAGUGGCAGAGCUGGGGUAUCCCAUGAUGUCACCACACUGCUAUAUGGAAAAGAACAUUAAUCGAGCACCUACGUGCUUGAUUCUCUUAAUUCUGUGACUGAACUCUCAAAACACCCUGGAUUGUCUACUUCCCCUCCUAGACUGUACUCUCCACAAGAGAGCAAAGCUGUGUCUGUUGCAUUCACUGUUGUCUUCCCAGAAGCAAGCAGCAUGCUGGAGACCCUCAAAUACAUGUGAAAUGAAGGGACACCUUGUGUUAUUUCACCUGUUUCCACCUGGUUCCCAAGUGGCAAGCUUGCAUUGAGGUUACAAAGUGGCAAAGCUGGGAUAUCACAUGAUGUCACCAUGAUGCUAUAUGAAAUGUAACAUUAAUUGAGUACCUAUGUGACCAGUUCUUUAAUUCUGUAAGUGAACUCUCAAAAAACCCUAGAGCACUGCGUGUUUUGAAAUAUACAAAUAGUGGGAAACGAAAUCUUUGUUCUGGAUGCAGUUAUAAUUUGGAAAGCGAGGAAAUAAAUUAUAACAAGGGGAAAAAACAGAAUACUACUAAAGUCAUGCCGUGUGACUUCUGAAGCUAGCUCCUAAGAAGUCCUUGCAGCUUCUGCCUGCGACUCUUAGAACACUUGCUUUGAAGGAUGCCAGAUGCUGUCUUAAAAGUCUGAGCACUCUGAAACCAUCAUGCUGUGAGGAAGCCCAAGCUAACCACAUGGGCAAAAAAGAUGCCCUCUGACUGCCACCAUUUGAGACACUCUAAUUAAGAACUGCCUCAUUGAGCCCAUGAGGCCCUGUGAAUGAUAAUAAUAAAUUGUUUUUAACCAC